AAAUGCGAAUUUAGUCGAAAACCGGGAGAAAAAGCGUUCCCAGCGAGACCUCUCGGUCCUAGGCCGAGGUUCGGUCCUUAGGCCGAGGUUCGGUCCUUGCUGGUGCUNGUUCCCAGCGAGACCUCUCGGUCCUAGGCCGAGGUUCGGUCCUUACUGGUGCUGAGUCGGAAGCGAAAGGCGCGAGCCAGAAGCGAGAAGCGAAGGGCGAGGGGUCCGUCCGAGGGUUCGGUUCGGUUCUUCUUCAUCAGGAGGGUUCGGUUCGGUUCUUCUUCAUCAGGAGGGUUCGGUUCCUAUGAGUAUGCAACAUUGUUUUAUUGUUGUUGUUCAUUGUUUAGCACUAAAGUUAAAGAAAUUUAAAC
rnacentral:lncRNA from 1 species